AUGAACAUAAGGACGUUUCUAGAUCUAACGGCAUCAUUUUCUCUGCUCUCUCUGCAGGCGAGCCCACACUCUCACGGUGCUAUUCAUCCUGACCUGCGCUCUUGUCUAUGUUACGUUGUUGGAAGAGACCCCCCAGGACACGGCGUACAACACCAAAAGAGGCAUUGUGGCCAGCAUCUUGGUGUUUCUUUGUUUCGGGGUGACACAGGCCAAAGAUGGACCAUUUACUAGACCACACCCAGCUUACUGGCGGUUCUGGCUGUGCGUGACUGUCGUCUAUGAACUCUUCCUCAUCUUCAUCUUAUUUCAGG